GCCAGGCGUACGACGCGGCGCGCCUGCGCCCCACCAAGCCAGACCUGCUGCGCGCCGCGGACAGCCUGCUCACCCAGGACGUGCCAGCCGCCGCGCGCCUCCUACUGCUCAGGCCCGGCGACGGAAUCGUGCGAGGAGGAGCCUUCGACGCGUUGCAGGAGGCGGGGGCUGAAGGCAACAAAGGCGACGUAAGGACCUGCCACCCCUCCGGAGCUGUAGGCGACUUCUUGGAAAAGCAGAGGAGAGUCGCUGUGUCCGCGACCGGAGACACUGCGGAGGAGAAGCAGGACGGAGCUGAUGCAGCAGACCUGGGCGGUUGCCAAGAAGACGUCGCAGAGCCAGCACGACGCGCCGUGCUGUCGUCGGCGGGGCUUUUACCUGCUAGCGAGACGAACGAGGAAAGCCAGCUGGCCGUGUCCGGCAGAGCUGUCAGCGUUUAGUUCGCUACGGAAA